GUAGUAUUCCCUCCGUCCCAAAAUUCUUGUCUUACAUUUGUUUAGAUAUGGAUGUAUCUAACACUAAAAUGUAACUAGAUACAUCCAUAUUUAGACAAAUUUAAGACAAGAAUUUUGGGACGGAGGGAGUACAAA
rnacentral:pre_miRNA from 1 species